CAGCCGCCACGGUAAUACGUAGGUGGCAAGCGUUGUCCGGAAUUAUUGGGCGUAGAGGGCUCGCAGGCGGUUUCUUAAGUCUGAUGUGAAAGCCCCCGGCUCAACCGGGGAGGGUCAUUGGAAACUGGGAAACUUGAGUGCAGAAGAGGAGAGUGGAAUUCCACAUGUAGCGGUGAAAUGCGUAGAGAUGUGGAGGAACACCAGUGGCGAAGGCGACUCUCUGGUCUGUAACUGACGCUGAGGAGCGAAAGCGUGGGGAGCGAACAGGAUUAGAUACCCCAGUAGUCCCUGUCUCUUAUAC
rnacentral:rRNA from 1 species